ACCUGAAAAAGAGCACAAUUUUACCUUUACAAGUUAGCUGCAGCAAACUUGGCUUAUUUAAAUGUCCACUGAAAUAAACUGAUGUAAAAUUCUUCUACCCUUUGUCACACAGCAACAAGAAUGCAUCCCACAAUAAUAUCCACCCCUUCAGUUGUUCUGAAGUCAGACAAUGCAAGUUAUCAUUCUGGAUUAAAGUGUAAUUUGUUUACAGAGUAUCCCCAAAGUAAAGAUGACUUCUGUGAAUGCUAUGUUUUUUUCAGCUUGUCUGAGAUAUCAACAAAAACCAGUGUCUACAUAUGCGUGGCAGUCACAAGCAUAAAAAUUCUGCCCUAAGAUCCUUCACCAGUUUCAAUACCAAGCUGUCAAAAGACUGACUUUCUUGUUGUGGAGCUGCUGAGCUCUGUAAAACACAGCCGUGAAACAUUACUUCUUUGCUAAUGUAUCCAAGUUACAUUUUUUAUAAUAGGGAGUAUAAUUUCAGUCCUGUAGUCUUCAGCUGAAGACUGUUGGAACCUGAAAGAGCUGUGUAGAAUAUGCAGUGUUAUCAACUUGUUUUAGAGUUCAAUAAUGUCUAAAGUAAGAUGUCUUUUUCAGAGACUGCCUUGACUUCAAUUAUGAUUUCCCAAAAGGAAAACAAAACACAUUUUUUCAAUAAAAUCAUAAGCACUCCUCCCAGAUUGCAGAAUGGCAAGCAGUUCAUUGAGUUGUUGAGAAAGGAAUUCAGCAUACAGGAGUGUCUGGUAACUCAGCCAUUUCUUCUGUCUUCCAGUGACAUUUAUAAGCAGCUUGUUUCCAGCCAUGAAGCGGGUAUGCUUGUCAGUCAACAUAACCAGACUUUUAAAUCCAACCCAGCCGGAAGAGGGAUGCAAUUCAUUUUUAUUUCUACACCAAGGAGGAGUUUGUAUGAAGCAGCAGUAUAUUAAGAUGCAAAAAGUUACUCAAAUGGAAAACAAAAAACAACAUAGGUGUUGUAAAGCAGAUGGGAAAAGGGAGUAAAAGCAUGCGUCAAAAGCAUGCUCAAGAGCUCUAUCUCUCUCAUUGCUCAAACUAUUUCUUCCCAUCUUUUUAAAGAAGUUAACAACACACUACCCAAUAAGGCUAUAAAAGGAUUUUUCAGCUCAGUGGAGUUUGUCUAAUUCAGGAUCUGGUUAGACCAUGGUAUAAUGGCAAUACAAGAAAUUACUCCACGUCCCCUAAGCCACGUAAUCACUUGUAAUCCACCCUGAGCACAAGGCAGUGACUAAACCCUUUUCUGGGGAGGUCUCUUACCUCAAGCAUAGAACGGCCAGCAACAGGCACUGUGACAGCUAUGACUGUUCAGCUGAUAGAAGCCAGCAAAGCAACCCUGAUUCCACUUGGAAUUUGACAUUCAUUGCAAUCCUCACCUACUGUAGGAAACACCUAACACUGCCCACUUAUUCCAAGCAAGUCCAGCUACUGCCUCCCCUGAAGAUCCCAAAGCAGAGUGCUGAAUGCCUGCUAAGCACAAAGCGUGGUACACAGUCACAAGCAAACCCAAAGGUUACCCAUGGUGAACUGAGUGUAUAAGUUGGCAUUUAGUUUGAUAUGAUAUAAUAUUCACAGAUUAGACAAUUUUUCAAUUAUGAGUUAAGUAUUUUGCAGUAUCUUGAGGAGAUGAAGAGAAGCAUUUAAUUUUCCAGAAGUUAUAAAAGGUGCUUGCUGUUUCAGUAAUGAAUUCAGUCCUCUAACUCACCUCAAGUAAUAAAAUUGGACAUAUGCGUGCUUGUUUGUAAAUAAUCUGUAGCGAGUCAUCUUCAAAACCUGUACUUCAGGACUUCUGAAUGUUAGGUGUCUGUAUCACUUCCACAGGCAGUUAAAACCAUGUUACCCUCUUGUAACCCUCUAUGUUCUCAUGGUAACGUCACUGAUGUUUGUGGAUAACCUCCAAACACUUGAAAUAUUCAUACUGCAAGCCCUUACAGUUGUUAAUAAGAAAAUAACUAAAGACUUCAGUCUUUACCUUCUUUACACUGAGACCAAGUUCAUUUUUGAAGAAACCCAGUCUGUUAUCCAGUCUUUCCACUGAAAACAACAGCAGAUAUGGAGCUCUCGAGACCAUCUGAGCAAUUUCUGACUUACCAAAUUUUUUUGAUUUUAGGUAAGCCACUCUAGAAAGAGAACAAAAACAAAAUAAAAUCCAGUGAUGAAAAUUUUAUUGCCUCCAUUUAUUCAGUACUGCUUAAAUUCCUCAGUGAUAUCUUAUAAAUGGACAGAUGUUCAAGCAUUAACAUGCAACCCUGCCAAAAAUAAUUAGGAUGAAUUCUGCAGUUAUCGUAAAAGCAAAAUACCCUCCCUUCCAAUUAAUUAGAAGUAAAAUAAACCUCAGAGCAGAAUGUCAAUACUGAAGACAGAUUUUAAUUCCUUCCAGCUGUACUUAAGCAGAUAACUAUGUUAACCUAAAUUUAACUACCAGCCUGUCUCCUAGAUUGCAAACACAUUAAUAGAUCAUCAUAGGGUAUGGACAAGAAGAUAUAUACAGCUUUUUGCUAUUUUAAUGAAUUCCAUUUCUACUGCUGAAAGAACAUUGUACUAUACCUCAUACAUCCCUGUUUUGCCAAUAGCACUGGAGUAGAAAUACCCUACAACAACAUCAUGUGUAGAGACAUUGUCCGAAAAGGCAUCUCUAGAUUAGCUGAAGUUACAUUCGUUGCAAUAGGUCGCUACUUUCAGUCAGUGGUCCAACGAUUAAGUAACAAAUAUCUGGUCAUCGGAAAGGAAAAGGAGCUGACUAAAGUUUUUAUGUUUAACAGAGCUUUCUUGCUUUCCAACUCAAUACUUUUUCCAAACUUUGUUAAAUUCAGUGAAUGUGAAAUCUUAUUUCAAGUACUACUUGCAGUAGAUGAUUACCAUACACGAUUACCAGAAAAAGGAACAAAGGAGAGCCAGUACAGCACAUAAAGAGAGACACAAUUAAUCCAUGUCUCCAUCUACAAAACAACUGAACUACAGUUUGAAGAGAUUUCCUUUGGUUAUAGAUGAGAGUAUAUGGAAGUAUUUUCUGUCAGAUGAAAGCACAUAAGAAUUGUUUUUAUCUGGCAGUAAUUUAGACACUAAAUGGAUUGCAGAGUAUUCUGCAGAAGCAGGUAUUCAGCAAAAAACAGGCUCUGUGUUAAACCACAUCUUGUGCAGAGAAAAAAAAAUUACCUUCCAGUCACUACAGCCUCCCUCUUUCCACAAACCCUCAAAAAUGAA